AAGUCGUAACAAGGUUUCCGUAGGUGAACCUGCGGAAGGAUCAUUAUUGAAUGAACUUGGUAUGAUUGUUGCUGGUUCUUAUAGGACAUGUGCACGUCUGCCAUCUUUAUAUCUCCACCUGUGCACACAUUGUAGGUCUGGAAUAACUCUCUGAGGAAACUCAGUUGUUAGGAUUGCUUCUGCAAAGGAGCUUUUCUUGUGUUUCCAGAUCUAUGUUUUCAUAUACACCAUAAGAAUGUAACAGAAUGUAUUAAUGGGUCUUGUACCUAUAAACUAUAUACAACUUUCAGCAACGGAUCUCUUGGCUCUC
rnacentral:misc_RNA from 1 species